rnacentral:rRNA from 1 species
GACGAACGCUGGCGGCGGGCUUAACACAUGCAAGUCGAACGGAAAGGCCCUUCUUUUGUUGGGUGCUCGAGUGGCGAACGGAUGAGUAACAAGUGAGUAACCUGCCCUUGACUUUGUGAUAACUUCAGGAAACUGGGGCUAAUACCGGAUAGGAGCUCCUGCUGCAUGGUGGGGGUUGGUAAGUUUCGGCGGUUGGGGAUGGACUCGCGGCUUAUCAGCUUGUUGGUGGGGUAGUGGCUUACCAAGGCUUUGACGGGUAGCCGGACUGAGAGGGUGACCGGCCACAUUGGGACUGAGAUACGGCACAGAGUCCUACGGGAGGCAGGAGUGGGGAAUAUUGCACAAUGGGCGGAAGCCUGAUGCAGCAACGCCGCGUGCGGGAUGACGGCCUUCGGGUUGUAAACCGCUUUCGCCUGUGACGAAGCGUGAGUGACGGUAAUGGGUAAAGAAGCACCGGCUAACUACGUG